rnacentral:lncRNA from 1 species
UUUAUAGAUUUCUUUGCAUGCAUUGUGAGGAUUUUUGUGAGGUUGUUAGGAUUUUAUGCAAAUUAUUUGAAUUUUUGUUUGAUUGUUAGGAUUGUAUAGAAAGGUUGUUAGGCCUUUUUUAGUUGCUAAGAUCGUUGUACAUGAUUUGUUGGAUUUUUUGUGUGGUUGUUAGGAUUCUAUAUAGGAAAUAGAAAAAAAGGGUGGAUCAUUUACCGCCUUUUUUUCUAAAAAAAAAGACAGUAAAUGAUUCACCAUCUUUUAAAUUUUAGUCAAGACAGUGAAUGGUUCACCGUUUCCUAAUUGAUCUUCCACCCUGGCGUUGAGUUGGACGAAAUAAGGUUAUUUCGCUAAAUAAAAUUUUGAUAGGAUUAUUUGGCAAAUUAUAAAUUUUGUAAGGGUUUAUAUAAGAAA